rnacentral:tRNA from 1 species
GGGCCUGUGGGGUAGUGGACUAUCCUGGGGAACUUCGGAUUCCUCGACCCGGGUUCAACUCCCGGCAGGCCCG